rnacentral:rRNA from 1 species
AGAGUUUGAUCCUGGCUCAGGACGAACGCUGGCGGCGUGCUUAACACAUGCAAGUCGUACGAACCUUGGAGAGCUUGCUCUUCAAGGCUAGUGGCGGACGGGUGCGUAACACGUGAGCAACUUGUCCUACGGUGGGGGAUAGCCGGCCCAACGGCCGGGUAAUACCGCGUAUUGCAUCGGCACCGCAUGAUGCUGAUGUGAAAGCGGCCGCAAGGUCGCGCCGGAGGAGAGGCUCGCGGCGUAUCAGCUUGUUGGUGGGGUAACGGCCUACCAAGGCUACGACGCGUAGCUGGUCUGAGAGGAUGAUCAGCCACAUUGGGACUGAGAUACGGCCCAGACUCCUACGGGAGGCAGCAGUGGGGAAUAUUGCGCAAUGGCCGCAAGGCUGACGCAGCGACGCCGUGUGUGGGAUGAAGGCCCUCGGGUUGUAAACCACUGUCAGGAGGGACGAAUACUCGGCUUCAAAUAGUUGACCGAGGGUGACGGUACCUCCAGAGGAAGCACCGGCUAACUCCGUGCCAGCAGCCGCGGUAACACGGAGGGUGCAAGCGUUGUCCGGAUUCACUGGGCGUAAAGCGCGCGUAGGCGGUUCUGUAAGUCAUCUGUGAAAUCCCGGGGCUCAACUCCGGGGCUGCAGGUGAUACUGCGG